AGAAUCAACGCUGGCGGCGUGCCUAACACAUGCAAGUCGCACGAGAAAGGGGAGCAAUCCCUGAGUACAGUGGCGCACGGGUGAGUAACACGUGAAUAAUCUACCUCCGAGUGGGGAAUAACUGAGAGAAAUCUUAGCUAAUACCGCAUAAUACCCACGGGUCAAAGCAGCAAUGCGCUUGGAGAGGAGUUCGCGGCAGAUUAGUUAGUUGGCGGGGUAAUGGUCCACCAAGACGAUGAUCUGUA
rnacentral:rRNA from 1 species